rnacentral:rRNA from 1 species
AUUGAACGCUGGCGGCAGGCCUAACACAUGCAAGUCGAGCGGAGCGGCGGACGGGUGAGUAAUGCCUAGGAAUCUGCCUGGUAGUGGGGGAUAACGUCCGGAAACGGGCGCUAAUACCGCAUACUAUCAGAUGAGCCUAGGUCGGAUUAGCUAGUUGGUGGGGUAAAGGCCUACCAAGGCGACGAUCCGUAACUGGUCUGAGAGGAUGAUCAGUCACACUGGAACUAGGACAUGGUCCAGACUGCUAAGGGAGGCAGCAGUGGGGAAUAUUGUACAAUGGGCGAAGGCCUGAAGCAGCCAUGCCGCGGGUGGGAAGAAGGUAUUCGGAUUGUAAAGCACUGUAAGUUGGGAGGGGUUAUCAAAAGAGUAAGCACCGGCUAACUUCGUACCAGCAGCCGCGGUAAUAC